UACGUAGGUGGCAAGCGUUUGUCCGGAUUUACUGGGCGUAAAGAGCGCGCAGGCGGUCGUUCAAGUCGCGUGUGAAAGCCCCCGGCUCAACUGGGGAGGGUCACGCGAUACUGAUCGACUGGAAGGCAGGAGAGGGUGAGUGGAAUUCCCGGGUGUAGUGGUGAAAUGCGUAGAUAUCGGGAGGAACACCAGUGGCGAAGGCGACUACCUGGCCUGUUCUUGACGCUGAGGCGCGAAAGCUAGGGGAGCAAACGGGG
rnacentral:rRNA from 1 species